rnacentral:rRNA from 1 species
CGCGUGCCUUUGCAUAAUGAGUCAGCGAGUUAUCCUGUGCAGCGAGGUUAAGCCGCGAGGUGGAGCCGCAGCGAAAGCGAGUCUUAAUAGGGCGAAGGAUAUGCACACUCUUAAGUUGGUGGAAAGCGUGCUCAGAUUGAGUCCAGGUUUGGCUAAUCUGAUUGAGCAGGCCCGCAGGAAUAGCAGCGCUAUUUCGAGGAGCCUGGUCAUGAAGAGCAGACAAAGAUGGGCUGAAGAUGAGAUACGGGGACGCCGAUUUAAGUGUGUGCAUGUCCGUAAAGUUGUAUGGGGUAGACCCGAAACCGGGUGAUCUAUCCAUGGCCAGGGUGAAGUCUCGAGUAACACGAGUGGAGGCCCGAACCGAUAUAGGUUGAAAACUGUUCGGAUGAGCUGUGGAUAGGGGUGAAAGGCCAAUCAAACUCGGUGAUAGCUGGUUCUCUCCGAAAUAUAUUUAGGUAUAGCCUCGUAUGUUUACUGACGGAGGUAGAGCACUGAAUGGGCUAGGGGUCUCACCGGAUUACCAAACCUAAUCAAACUCCGAAUACCGUCAAGUUAUAGUACGGGAGUCAGACUACGGGAGAUAAGUUCCGUGGUCGAGAGGGAAACAACCCAGACCGCCAGCUAAGGUCCCAAAAUCUAUGCUAAGUGGAAAAGGAUGUGGAAUUGCUCAGACAACCAGGAGGUUGGCUUAGAAGCAGCCACCCUUUAAAGAAAGCGUAACAGCUCACUGGUCUAGUGAUUCUGCGCCGAAAAUGUAACGGGGCUAAGCAUAGUACCGAAGCUGCGGAUACGAAAUUUAUUUAUAAUGGUAGGAGAGCAUUGUGGCCGCCUGAGAAGGUACACCGUAAGGAGUGCUGGAGGUUCCACAAGAGCUUAUGUUGACAUGAGUAGCGAAAAACAAGGUGAGAAACCUUGUCGCCGAAAGCCUAAGGUUUCCUGUAGUCAAGUUAAUCUGCUCAGGGUUAGUCGGCUCCUAAGGCGAGGCCGAGAGGCGUAGUCGAUGGGAAACAGGUUAAUAUUCCUGUACCACUUUCAUAAUGUUAUGGUAAGGGGGGACGGAGAAGGUAAGGCCAUCCGGGCGUUGGUUGUCCCGGUUUAAGCGUGUAGGUGGAGGACUUAGGCAAAUCCGGGUCCUUAUUCAACACUGAGGCGUGAUGACGAUGUCUUUUAGACAACAAAGUGGUUGGUUCCAUGCUUCCAGGAAAAUCCUCGUAUCUAGUUAUGAAUGUGACCGUACCGCAAACCGACACAGGUAGGCAGGUAGAGAAUACCAAGGCGCUUGAGAGAACUCUGGUUAAGGAACUCGGCAAAAUAGCACCGUAACUUCGGGAGAAGGUGUGCCCGCAUGGUGAAGUUAUUUACUGACUGAGCCAAGUGAGGUUGCAGUGAAAUGGGGGGAGCGACUGUUUACUAAAAACAUAGGACUCUGCGAAGUCGAAAGACGACGUAUAGGGUCUGACGCCUGCCCGGUGCCGGAAGGUUAAGGGGACGUGUUAGCGUAAGCGAAGCACUGAACUGAAGCCCCGGUAAACGGCGGCCGUAACUAUAACGGUCCUAAGGUAGCGAAAUUCCUUGUCGGGUAAGUUCCGACCUGCACGAAUGGGUAAACCAUGGCCACGCUGUCUCCACCCGAGACUCAGUGAAAUUGAAAUCGCAGUGAAGAUGCUGUGUACCCGCGGCUAGACGGAAAGACCCCGUGAACCUUUACUACAGCUUGGCACUGAACAUUGAACCUACAUGUGUAGGAUAGGUGGGAGACUUUGAAGC